GGCGGCGUAGCUCAAUUGGUAGAGCAAACGGCUCAUAUCCGUUAUGUCAUAGGUUCAAUCCCUAUCGCCGCUA
rnacentral:tRNA from 1 species